rnacentral:rRNA from 1 species
GGCUCAGGAUGAACGCUAGCGGCAGGCUUAAUACAUGCAAGUCGUGGGGCAGCAUGAGUAGCAAUACUUGAUGGCGACCGGCAAACGGGUGAGGACCACGUACACAACCUUCCUUCAAGCGGGGAAUAGCCCAGAGAAAUUUGGAUUAAUACCCCAUAAUAUAUUUGAUAAGGCAUCUUAUUAAUAUUAAAAGCUUCGGCACUUGAUGAUGGGUGUGCGGCUGAUUAGAUAGUUGGCGGGGUAACGGCCCACCAAGUCUACGAUCAGUAGCUGAUGUGAGAGCAUGAUCAGCCACACGGGCACUGAGACACGGGCCCGACUCCUACGGGAGGCAGCAGUAAGGAAUAUUGGACAAUGGACGAAAGUCUGAUCCAGCCAUGCCGCGUGAAGGAUUAAGGUCCUCUGGACUGUAAACUUCUUUUAUAUGGGACGAAAAAGGGCAUUCUUGUUCACUUGACGGUACCAUAUGAAUAAGCACCGGCUAACUCCGUG